UUGUUUUCCUGUUUCUCCAGCCUCGCGUGUGGAGACUUCAGAAGAUGCCAGACCUCACAAAGAUUUCAGAUGAUGGAAACUAUAGAUGAACAUGCAAAGCUGCUAAAUAAUCCUUAUAUUGUAAUCAUUGUCCUAAAAGGGAGGAACUUGUCAGCAAAUCUACUUCACAGCACGUCAGUGAAAGCAGUUGACAGUUACAGAUGUGUGUGUUGGAUCAGGGUCAGAUCUGAAUUCUGCAGGUUUCCUGGGAUGACAGUUGAAGAGAUAAGCACAUCAGAUGUUGGCCUGGACAGCUGUACCUACAGU